rnacentral:tRNA from 1 species
GGCGGCGUAGCUCAGACGGUCAGAGCACAUGGCUCAUACCCGUGGUGUCGUGGGUUCGAUUCCCUCCGCCGCCACCA